rnacentral:rRNA from 1 species
GACGUAGGAGGCGAGCGUUGUCCGGAUUCAUUGGGCGUAAAGAGCGCGCAGGCGGCUUGGUAAGUCGGAUGUGAAAUCCCGAGGCACAACCUCGGGUCUGCAUCCGAUACUGCCCGGCUAGAGGUAGGUAGGGGAGAUCGGAAUUCCUGGUGUAGCGGUGAAAUGCGCAGAUAUCAGGAGGAACACCAGUGGCGAAGGCGGCUCACUGGUCCGGUACUGACGCUGAGGUGCGAAAGCGUGGGGAGCAAACAGG